rnacentral:rRNA from 1 species
CCUACGGGGGGCAGCAGUGGGGAAUAUUGGACAAUGGGCGAAAGCCUGAUCCAGCCAUGCCGCGUGUGUGAAGAAGGUCUUCGGAUUGUAAAGCAUUUUAAGUUGGGAGGAAGGGUUGUAGAUUAAUACUCUGCAAUUUUGACGUUACCAACAGAAUAAGCACCGGCUAACUUCGUGCCAGCAGCCGCGGUAAUACGAAGGGUGCAAGCGUUAAUCGGAAUUACUGGGCGUAAAGCGCGCGUAGGUGGUUCGUUAAGUUGGAUGUGAAAGCCCCGGGCUC